rnacentral:misc_RNA from 1 species
GGGAAAACAUAAUAAGAAUUAAAAAAGGAAAACAAAAAGAUAUUUCAUGUCCUCAAAGAGUUGUGGUAGAAUAGAAAAUAGGAAAAAGAAGAGUUCUUCAGAAUGGAUGGGAUGGGAGGGUGAAAUAACUUUUCCAAAAUCUUUAACAAUCAUAACAGGGGAGAUUCAGAGUAGGGAGGGGCCAGGGCAGAGUAAACAAAACUUCAGAUCUACAUGUAUCCUCCUUGCUGCUGCUGCUGCUGCUGCGGCGGUGGCUGCUGAUAAUUUCCAUAGCCACCAUAGCCACUGUAGAACAUAUUAGGAUCCUGCGGAGCUGGAGCAUAACUAUAGUUUUCGUAUCCUUGCCCAUACCCAUAAUAGCCACCUCCAUUCCAUUGGUUAGGAUCCGCC